CCUACGGGAGGCAGCAGUAGGGAAUCUUCCGCAAUGGACGAAAGUCUGACGGAGCAACGCCGCGUGAACGAUGAAGGCCUUCGGGUCGUAAAGUUCUGUUGUUAGGGAAGAACAAGUGCUAGUUGAAUAAGCUGGCACCUUGACGGUACCUAACCAGAAAGCCACGGCUAACUACGUGCCAGCAGCCGCGGUAAUACGUAGGUGGCAAGCGUUGUCCGGAAUUAUUGGGCGUAAAGCGCGCGCAGGCGGUUUCUUAAGUCUGAUGUGAAAGCCCCCGGCUCAACCGGGGAGGGUCAUUGGAAACUGGGAAACUUGAGUGCAGAAGAGGAAAGUGGAAUUCCAAGUGUAGCGGUGAAAUGCGUAGAGAUUUGGAGGAACGACCAGUGGCGAAGGCGACUUUCUGGUCUGUAACUGACGCUGAGGCGCGAAAGCGUGGGGAGCAAACAGGAUUAGAUACCCUGGUAGUCCACGCUGUAAACGAUGAGUGCUAAGUGUUAGAGGGUUUCCGCCCUUUAGUGCUGAAGUUAACGCAUUGAGCACUCCGCCUGGGGAGUCGGUCGCAGACUGAACUUAAAGGAAUUGACGG
rnacentral:rRNA from 1 species